rnacentral:rRNA from 1 species
UACGGGGGGGGCAAGCGUUGUCCGGAAUCACUGGGCGUAAAGGGCUCGUAGGCGGCCAACUAAGUCCGACGUGAAAUCCCCAGGCUUAACCUGGGAACUGCGUCGGAUACUGGAUGGCUUGAAUUCGGGAGAGGGAUGCAGAAUUCCAGGUGUAGCGGUGAAAUGCGUAGAUAUCUGGAGGAAUACCGGUGGCGAAGGCGGCAUCCUGGACCGACAUUGACGCUGAUGAGCGAAAGCUAGGGGAGCAAACGGG